AACGAACGCUGGCGGCAUGCCUAACAUAUGCAAGUCGAACGAGAUCUUCGGGUCUUGUGGCGCACGGGUGCGUAACGCGUGGGAAUCUGCCCUUUGGUUCGGAAUAACAGUUGGAAACGACUGCUAAUACCGGAUAAUGACGAAAGUCCAAAGAUUUAUCGCCAGAGGAUGAGCCCGCGUAGGAUUAGCUAGUUGGUGUGGUAAAGGCGCACCAAGGCGACGAUCCUUAGCUGGUCUGAGAGGAUGAUCAGCCACACUGGGACUGAGACACGGCCCAGACUCCUACGGGAGGCAGCAGUGGGGAAUAUUGGACAAUGGGCGAAAGCCUGAUCCAGCAAUGCCGCGUGAGUGAUGAAGGCCCUAGGGUUGUAAAGCUCUUUUACCCGGGAUGAUAAUGACAGUACCGGGAGAAUAAGCCCCGGCUAACUCCGUGCCAGCCGCCGCUGUAA
rnacentral:rRNA from 1 species